GACCCCUGGUCUAGUGGUUCAGAAACAGAGCAUCUGCUUGGCAUGCAGAAAGUCCCAGGUUCAAACCUUGGCAUCUCCA
rnacentral:tRNA from 1 species